AUUGAACGCUGGCGGCAUGCCUUACACAUGCAAGUCGAACGGUAACAGGUCUUCGGAUGCUGACGAGUGGCGAACGGGUGAGUAAUACAUCGGAACGUGCCUAGUAGUGGGGAUAACUACUCGAAAGAGUGGCUAAUACCGCAUGAGAUCUACGGAUGAAAGCAGGGGAUCGCAAGACCUUGUGCUACUAGAGCGGCCGAUGGCAGAUUAGGUAGUUGGUGGGAUAAAAGCUUACCAAGCCGACGAUCUGUAGCUGGUCUGAGAGGACGAUCAGCCACACUGGGACUGAGACACGGCCCAGACUCCUACGGGAGGCAGCAGUGGGGAAUUUUGGACAAUGGGCGCAAGCCUGAUCCAGCAAUGCCGCGUGCAGGAUGAAGGCCUUUGGGUUGUAAACUGCUUUUGUACGGAACGAAAAGCCCCGGGUUAAUACCCUGGGGUCAUGACGGUACCGUAAGAAUAAGCACCGGCUAACUACGUGCCAGCCGCCGCAGUAA
rnacentral:rRNA from 1 species